GACGAACGCUGGCGGCGUGCCUAAUACAUGCAAGUAGAACGCUGAAGGAGGAGCUUGCUCUUCUGGAUGAGUUGCGAACGGGUGAGUAACGCGUAGGUAACCUGCCUGGUAGCGGGGGAUAACUAUUGGAAACGAUAGCUAAUACCGCAUAAGAGUAGAUGUUGCAUGACAUUUGCUUAAAAGGUGCAAUUGCAUCACUACCAGAUGGACCUGCGUUGUAUUAGCUAGUUGGGGGGGUAACGGCUCACCAAGGCGACGAUACAUAGCCGACCUGAGAGGGGGAUCGGCCACACUGGGACGGAGACACGGCCCAGACUCCUACGGGAGGCAGCAGUAGGGAAUCUUCGGCAAUGGACGGAAGUCUGACCGAUCAACGCCGCGUGAGUGAAGAAGGUUUUCGGAUCGUAAAGCUCUGUUGUAAGAGAAGAACGAGUGUGAGAGUGGAAAGUUCACACUGUGACGGUAUCUUACCAGAAAGGGACGGCUAACUACGUG
rnacentral:rRNA from 1 species